rnacentral:rRNA from 1 species
UACGUAGGGUGCAAGCGUUGUCCGGAAUUAUUGGGCGUAAAGCGCUCGUAGGCGGUUUGUCGCGUCUGCUGUGAAAACCCGAGGCUCAACCUCGGGCCUGCAGUGGGUACGGGCAGACUAGAGUGCGGUAGGGGAGAUUGGAAUUCCUGGUGUAGCGGUGGAAUGCGCAGAUAUCAGGAGGAACACCGGUGGCGAAGGCGGGUCGCUGGGCCGAUACUGACGCUGAGGAGCGAAAGCGUGGGGAGCGAACAGG